GGUGAGAUGGCCGAGCGGUCUAAGGCGCCAGACUAAGGAUCAGGGCAGUUUCUGUCCACUCUUCUCACUUCCCUCUUAGGGAGCGGGUAUCUGGUCCUCCGGGGCGUGGGUUCGAAUCCCACUCUCAUCA